AAAAACGAAAACGCACGCACAAAACGAAAAAGGUAACUUGAGCUACUUGUGGGUCGCAACAACGGAGAGCGAGUUUUAAAAAAAGUAAAACUAAAAUAGCAA